UACAGAGGUCCCGAGCGUUGUUCGGAUUUAUUGGGCGUAAAGGGUGCGUAGGUGGCAAAGUAAGUUGGAUGUGAAAUCCUGGGGCUUAACCUCAGAAUUGCAUUCAAUACUGCUUAGCUAGAGAGCUGUAGAGGAGACUGGAAUUUACGGUGUAGCAGUGAAAUGCGUAGAUAUCGUAAGGAACGCCAGUGGCGAAAGCGGCAUCCUGGACCAACACUGACGCUGAGGAGCGAAAGCCAGGGGAGCGAACGGG
rnacentral:rRNA from 1 species